AUACGGAGGAUCCGAGCGUUAUCCGGAUUUAUUGGGUUUAAAGGGAGCGUAGGUGGACAGUUAAGUCAGUUGUGAAAGUUUGCGGCUCAACCGUAAAAUUGCAGUUGAUACUGGCUGUCUUGAGUACAGUAGAGGUGGGCGGAAUUCGUGGUGUAGCGGUGAAAUGCUUAGAUAUCACGAAGAACUCCGAUUGCGAAGGCAGCUCACUGGACUGCAACUGACACUGAUGCUCGAAAGUGUGGGUAUCAAACAGGAUUAGAUACCCUGGUAGUCCACACAGUAAACGAUGAAUACUCGCUGUUUGCGAUAUACAGUAAGCGGCCAAGCGAAAGCAUUAAGUAUUCCACCUGGGGAGUACGCCGGCAACGGUGAAACUUAAAGGAAUUGACGGGG
rnacentral:rRNA from 1 species